rnacentral:rRNA from 1 species
CCAAAAUACCAUGGCGGCCAUUUCAAUAAAUCAGAGGAACUUGUCUCAUAACCGAUAAUCCUCGAUCAAUUUCACUAAAUUUUCAUUUACUAUUUUUAUACCUCCGUCAAAAUUUUACUAUAAAAAAAAAUUUAAAAAAUUCAUAAAAUUAAAAAGUCAGGUCAAGGUGAAAUUAUAUUUAGAGAAGAUUAGUUACUUAUUAAUAAAAUUAAAGGAAAAACACCCAAAAUUAACUAGAAAAAGGAUUUGAAAGUACUAUUUAAAUAAUAAUUAAAAACGAAUAUAAUUUUUGGUGUACAUAUCGCCCGUCACCCUUAUCCAAAGACAAGGUAAGUCGUAACAUAGUUGAAAUAUUGGAAAAUGUUUCAAGAUCAUAUAAUACUACACGUAUUUCACUUCAAAUGAAA